rnacentral:rRNA from 1 species
AGAGGAAGUAAAAGUCGUAACAAGGUUUCCGUAGGUGAACCUGCGGAAGGAUCAUUAUCGAAUCUUCUGAGGGUUGUUGCUGGGUUCCUCCUAAAGGGGGUUCCAACGUGCACGCCCUUGUCCAUUCUUAAACCCCUGUGCACUUAUUGUAGGCUUGGUGGCAGAGCUGACUUUGGUUGGUUCGAAAGUCUCGCCUAUGUUUUAACACACGCUUCAGUCUAUGAAUGUCAUUUUGCGGAUAACGCAUUAAAUACAACUUUCAACAACGGAUCUCUUGGCUCUCGCAUCGAUGAAGAACGCAGCGAAAUGCGAUAAGUAAUGUGAAUUGCAGAAUUCAGUGAAUCAUCGAAUCUUUGAACGCACCUUGCGCUCCUUGGUAUUCCGAGGAGCAUGCCUGUUUGAGUGUCAUGGAAUUCUCAACCUUUAACACUUUUGUGGCGAAGGCUUGGACUUGGAGGUCGUGUCGGCUUGCAAAGGUCGACUUCUCUGAAAUGUAUCAGCGCGAACCUUACGGAUCGCUUCGGUGUGAUAAUUGUCUACGCCGUGGCGUUGAAGUAAAGCUGUGUUCGAGCUUCCAACCGUCCGUGAGGACAACUCUUUUUGACAAUCUGACCUCAAAUCAGGUAGGAUUACCCGCUGAACUUAAGCAUAUC